rnacentral:rRNA from 1 species
AGGACGAACGCUGGCGGCGUGCUUAACACAUGCAAGUCGAACGGGGUGUGCCGGGUAGUAAUACCUUGUACAUCUAGUGGCGAACGGGUGCGUAACACGUGAGUAACCUACCCCGAAGUCUGGAAUAACACCGGGAAACCGAUGCUAAUACCAGAUGCCCUCCUCUGAUCGCAUGAUCGGUUGAGGAAAGUUUUUCGCUUCGGGAGGGGCUCGCGGCCUACCAGCUUGUUGGUGAGGUAACGGCUCACCAAGGCUUCGACGGGUAGCUGGUCUGAGAGGAUGAUUAGCCACACUGGGACUGAGACACGGCCCAGACUCCUACGGGCGGCAGC